rfam:Aedes albopictus isolate Foshan contig23764, whole genome shotgun sequence.
UGUUCUGUAGCUUAGUUGGUUAAAGCGCCGGACAAGCGAUAACGGAGUCGUGGUUUCGAAUCCCACCAAAACAA